rnacentral:rRNA from 1 species
UGGGGAAUAUUGCACAAUGGGCGCAAGCCUGAUGCAGCCAUGCCGCGUGUAUGAAGAAGGCCUUCGGGUUGUAAAGUACUUUCAGCGGGGAGGAAGGCGAUAAGGUUAAUAACCUUGUCGAUUGACGUUACCCGCAGAAGAAGCACCGGCUAACUCCGUGCCAGCAGCCGCGGUAAUACGGAGGGUGCAAGCGUUAAUCGGAAUUACUGGGCGUAAAGCGCACGCAGGCGGUCUGUCAAGUCGGAUGGGAAAUCCCCGGGCUCAACCUGGGAACUGCAUUCGAAACUGGCAGGCUAGAGUCUUGUAGAGGGGGGUAGAAUUCCAGGUGUAGCGGUGAAAUGCGUAGAGAUCUGGAGGAAUACCUGUGGCGAAGGCGGCCCCCUGGACAAAGACUGACGCUCAGGUGCGAAAGCGUGGGGAGCAAACA